AAGACUAUAGACCUGCGGAGUACCUGCGGAGGGAUCAUUAACAAAUUUGUUGAGUAUGUACAAUUGUGAACAGGCCAGAGUUUGUAUCUGAAGAAGCAAAUGAGCAAUUAUUUGUGUAGCUGAAGAAGCAGAUAAGCAAUUAUUUGUUAAGCAGAUGAGCAAUUAUUUGUGUAGCUGAAUAUUUGUCUAGCUAAAUAAGCAAUUAUUUGUGUAGCUGAAUAUUUGUCUAGCUGAAUAAGC
rnacentral:misc_RNA from 1 species